GGAACGGUGUCCGAGUGGUUGAAGGAGCACGCCUGGAAAGCGUGUAUACGGGCAACCGUAUCGAGGGUUCGAAUCCCUCCCGUUCCGCCA
rnacentral:tRNA from 1 species